rnacentral:misc_RNA from 1 species
GAUGAAGAACGUAGUGAAAUGCGAUAAUUAAUGUGAAUUGCAGAAUUCCGUGAAUCAUCGAGUCUUUGAACGCACAUUGCGCCUCAUGGCAUUCCGUGAGGCAUGCCCAUCUCAGCGUUAGAAAAUAUUCUCAAAUUUUAGUUUUGUGCUAAAAUUUGGAUCAUGUCAAGGAAGCUAUUACUAUUAUUGUGAUCGCUCUUUGGAAAUUGAUAGGUCUUUGAGUUGCUACUCAUAGAACGUGAUGAAUCUUUCUUCGUUCUAUUGUAAUUCACUCUGGUAGUCCUAAAACUUGUAUGCCUGUGGCAUAUCUUGUAAUUUGACCUGAGAUUGGGUAGGGAUACCCGCUAAACUUAAGCAUAUCAAUAACCGGAGGA